ACUGGGGCGCUGGUCGGUGCGCGGGCUGGGACGCUAAGUCAUGAGGAAUUAAACUGGGAAACCUGGCGUGGGUCCAGGCGCCUUCCAGGAGGCAUCCGGCGCGGCCCGGACGUGCUUCUACCCAGAACCACCCCCUCCAGGCCGGGGUGCACUUAACGGGGCUAUACAAAGAGUCUGGUGGGUGACUGUGGGCCUCAUCCCUAUCCCGGGGUCUGAUAGGGAAGACUCUCGGGCCCCGCAGGGAAUAUCUGGCUAGUGCACCCUCGGCGGGAGCGCCACUCUCCCUCCUUGGGCGGCGCCCCCCACCUCUCAUCCCGCCCAAUCCGUUUUGCAAAGUCGGCCAAAACAAAAACAAACUUGGAGCGCUGAUAGACACUGUUAUUGCCCAUCUGAACUCGUCAACUGAGAAGGAAAGAGAUGGUUUAUGCUGUGAAUAAAAUACAGUUGUGCUGUGAUGUAAAUCCCCUCAUCCUGGAGCAGCUGAGCAAGGUCUAAGGCAGGAAGAACCUUCAAGCAGGUCAUGGCGUGCAGGCUCAACUCUGCCUGGCAGUGGCAAGGGCCAGGGCCAGUGACUGAAGCAACAAACUGCCAGAUGACUGCAGCUCAAGCCAAUGCACAAAGCCACUGCAACAAGAGAGGAAAUUCUUCCAUUUCCAAGUGUGUCGAUUUCUCCCCAUCAAGGAAAACAGCUAAGGCAAUGUGUUGAUAUUUUCUUUGACCAAGUCAUCAGGAGUCACAUAGACAUACAGCACUCAAGAAGUGGCUGUAACUAAAGGCACAUCUCGUUCAUCUACAACCCUUGUAAUCCCAACCUUUGUCUGAUGCACAAACCCUUCCCUAGUUCUCCCCACCACCACCACUGCACCUCCAAGUGGGGACAACGAAUUGUUUCAUUUGCAUGUGGUUUUUCUCAUGAAAAAUAUCAUUAACAUGAGACAGCCCCAAACCAAGGAAACCAGAAGUGGGGUUUGUGCUUGGUCUUACUGAGAGCUUUCCCUACUUGACCAGACCCCAGCAUUGUUCUAGAUUUGUCUCUUGUGGGCUACAGGAAUGCAAACAUUUUGUAGUUUCCUCUUUUUUGUUUUCUUAAUGGCUUGAUGAGCCACACAUGUUUCUCUAAAUGCAUGAUUUUAAAUUCACACA
rnacentral:lncRNA from 10 species